rnacentral:rRNA from 1 species
GCGCCAGCCGCCGCGGUAAUACGGAGAGUGCAAACGUUGUUCGGAUUCACUGGGCGUAAAGGGCACGUAGGCGGCUCGGCAAAUCGGUCGUGGAAUCUCGACGCUUACCGUCGAAACGGCGGCCGAAAAUACCGGGCUCGAGGGCGUGAGGGGUCACUGGAACUCCUGGUGAAGCGGUGAAAUGCGUAGAUAUCAGGAGGAACGCCGGAGGCGAAAGCGAGUGACUGGCGCGUUCCUGACGCUGAGGUGCGAAAGCUAGGGGAGCAAACAGGAUUAGAUACCCUAGUAGUCC